rnacentral:rRNA from 1 species
AACGAACGCUGGCGGCAGGCUUAACACAUGCAAGUCGAACGCACCCUUCGGGGUGAGUGGCAGACGGGUGAGUAACGCGUGGGAACAUGCCCUUCAGUUCGGAAUAACCCAGGGAAACUUGGGCUAAUACCGGAUACGCCCUUAGGGGGAAAGGAUUUAUCGCUGAAGGAGUGGCCCGCGUCUGAUUAGCUAGUUGGUGAGGUAACGGCUCACCAAGGCGACGAUCAGUAGCUGGUCUGAGAGGAUGAUCAGCCACAUUGGGACUGAGACACGGCCCAAACUCCUACGGGAGGCAGCAGUGGGGAAUAUUGGACAAUGGGCGGCAAGCCUGAUCCAGCCAUGCCGCGUGAGUGAUGAAGGCCCUAGGGUUGU